UACGGGGGGGGCAAGCGUUGUUCGGAAUUACUGGGCGUAAAGGGCUCGUAGGUGGCCAACUAAGUCAGACGUGAAAUCCCUCGGCUUAACCGGGGAACUGCGUCUGAUACUGGAUGGCUUGAGUUCGGGAGAGGGAUGCGGAAUUCCAGGCGUAGCGGUGAAAUGCGUAGAUAUCUGGAGGAACACCGGUGGCGAAGGCGGCAUCCUGGACCGACACUGACGCUGAGGAGCGAAAGCCAGGGGAGCAAAGCGGG
rnacentral:rRNA from 1 species